UACGGAGGGGGCGAGCGUUAUUCGGAAUUAUUGGGCGUAAAGGGCGCGUAGGCGGCUUGGUAAGUCAAAGGUGAAAUCCCUCGGCUCAACUGAGGAAUUGCCUUUGAAACUGCCUGGCUUGAGGCCGGGAGGGGGUAGCGGAAUUCCCAGUGUAGCGGUGAAAUGCGUAGAUACUGGGAGGAACACCAGUGGCGAAGGCGGCUACCUGGACCGGAACUGACGCUGAGGAGCGAAAGCGUGGGGAGCGAACAGG
rnacentral:rRNA from 1 species